CCGACCUUAGCUCAGUUUGGUAGAGCGGAAGACUGUAGAUCUUUAGGUCGCUGGUUCGAUUCCGGCAGGUCGGA